ACACGAGGCGCGCGCGCGUGCGCGCCGAGGACCUUCUGGAGGGCUUCUCCUGAGGCCCUCCUGGGCGGUGCGGCGUUUGUCUGCCGCAGAGGAGCGGCGUCUAGGGCAAACAUGGCUUUGGGCCUGGGGUCAGUCAUAAAAAUCGCAGGAACUAUAAUGGGCUACCCUUUCUUCACUGUCUUUAACAUUUGUUGGCUUGUUAGUCUUCACACGCCCCUUCCUGAAAGGAUUUUCUGGAGUUCCCUAGGAUCUCUUUGAAAGCUUACCCAGAACAUCCAGCUGCACAGUAAAGGUGGCUUCUCCUGCUCUGUUCUUGGCAACACACGCAUAAGCCCCUGCAUCUGAAGCUCUGACCACUUCAAAGAUGAGUGAGUGAAAACCCUUCUCAGACACUAUCAUUUUGUG